rnacentral:rRNA from 1 species
UAAUACAGAGCCCCCAAGCGUUAUCCGGAUUUAUUGGGCGUAAAGCGUUCGUAGGCGCCCUGUUAGGUUUUCUGUUAAAUGCCAGCGCUUAACGUUGGAAAUGCAGAAAAAACCGGCAAGGUAGAGGGAGUUAGGGGCGGAUGGAACGCUCGGUGUAGGGGUGAAAUCCGUUGAUAUCGAGUGGAACACCAAAAGCGAAGGCAUUCCGCUGGAGCUACCCUGACGCUGAGGAACGAAAGCGUGGGGAUAAAAAAGGAUUAGAUACCCUUGUAUUCCACGCUGUAAACGAUGGACACUGGCUAUUGGUAGUGUCGACCCUAUCAGUGGCGAAGCUAACGCGUUAAGUGUCCCGCCUGGGAAGUACGGCCGCAAGGCUA